rnacentral:rRNA from 1 species
CCCCUCCGGCCGGCUCCUCUCCCGCCCGCGCCGCCUCCUCCUCCCCACCAGCGCCUCCCUCUCCUCCUUCCCGCCGCCACCCGGCCUUGGGGAAAGAUUUCGACUGCAUCCAGAGAGGGAAAGAUUUCGAGGGGGAGGAGAAGGGGAGAGCAGAGAAGCUUGGAGGGCGGCGGGCGGCGGCGAUGGACGGCGAGUGGUGGAGGAAGAAGUGGGUGGCGUGGGCGGCGGCGGCGGCGGCGGCCAUCUUCGUGGUGCUGCCCCCUCCCCCUCGCGCCGCCGCCCUCAGAGAAGCACCGCAGCCCACCGCCCCUAGCCGCCCCAUCCCCGUGCCUUCCCGUGCUCGCUCCUCCCCUCCCUUCCCAGCCGCCACUCCCCUCCCCUCCCCGGUCUCUGUUCCGCCGUCAUCGCCAUUGCCACUACUGGCCGUCACCAUCGCCGGGAGGAGGCCGAGCGAAGCGGGCCGCUUGUGCUGGAGACCAAGCCGCCUCUCCCUCCCGCGCGGUCGCGGCUCCCUCCUGCCCCUCGUCGCCGUCCCUGCCCCAACCACCGCACCCUCUCCCUCCCCCUACCGUCGGCCUCUCCCCAGGCGGCGGCCAGAUCUGCCACCGCCACGGUGGGGGCUUCUUAAUCCGCGCCGUCGUCGAGCUGGACGCGGCCGUCAACCUCGUACCACACCGCCGCCGCCAUGGAUGCACCAUAUCAAGGAACUGAUGCUGCUGCUAGCCUUGUAGUUAGUUGGGUGCUUGAUAAUUUCUCCAGGUGGAUGAGCACAAUAUGAAACAUGGACAUCCCUGUUGCAUCCUUCCGAAGCACUAGCCCCUCUCAAGUUUAUAGGAAGUUGCUGAAAUCAAAGAGGAGCAGCAAAAGAUCGAUGAGGCUAUUAAAAUCAUGCAGGAUGUUGUUCAUUGAAGGGGUGCCACUUGGCUGGCAGCAGGAAGUAAGCGAUCAACAUCAUCAAGAUCCGCUUGAAGGACAACACCAUGGAAGAUGCUCAAUGACCAGAUCGUCGUCCUCUCCGAGAGGAGGGGCCAGCUCAAGCAGGUACAACUAGCUCACCACAGCUCGCUCCUCCUCCCUCUUCUCUGUUUCGUGUUCGAUUGUUCAGAAACGUAACUUAUAUGUGGUGGAUGACUAAGCAAGUGGUUGAAUGAGAACUGAAACCUUUCACUUUUAAGGUUUGAGAUUGUUAUGAACUGCGAGUAUUUCAUAAAAAAAAUUCAGUUCAUAUAAAGCAAAAGAAAGGCAUGCAGUAACUUACAUUGACAGUGUGAUUGUUAACCCCUUAUGAUAUUGGAAACCUGAUAAAUAAUACAUUUUAUGACUGAAUGUUUAACGUGGGACUAGGAGACCCCCAGUUCUGUUUGGUACAUGAAUCUUCUUAUAUUUUGUCCAUUCUUUUUUAUUUUGAUCAAGAAGUCAUAUGGUAGUAUUAUUAGUGAUAUUUGUCAUUUACUUUAAGUUUUCAAGCACACAUUUAGUUUAGGUAAAUCUAAACUAAAUCUGUGAGCUUUGUCAUUUUUCAAGCACACAUUUAGUGAUAUUUUUCAUUUAUUGAAGGGGAGCCUUGGCGCAGUGGUAAAGCUGCUGCCUUGUGACCAUGAGGUCAUGGGUUCAAGUCCUGGAAACAGCCUCUUACAGAAAUGUAGGGAAAGGCUGCGUACUAUAGACCCAAAGUGGUCGGACCCUUCCCUGGACCCUGCGCAAGCGGGAGCUACAUGCACCAGGUUGCCCUUUUUUUUUUGAAGUUAUCCAGUUUUCACUGGGAGAAUCUCACAGAUUAGAUAGCACAAACUGUGAGCUUUGAGUAUCAUAUUUCUUUAAGUGGAAUCAUUGUGAUUUGGACUACAGGAAUGGCCGUCACUCCUGCAGUUCAUUUUGUCAACUGGUCGCAUGGUUGAUUAGAAAAAGAUCAUUUGAGGGUCCAUGCGUAUUGUGGUUGUAGUUCUGCGAAUCAAAAUGUUAUUCUUGGUUGCUAGAUUAAUUUGGUUAUUCAGUCGGCUCCCAAUUUCCAGUUUCUAAUUAUAUGAGGAAAUGGUGUUUUAAUGUUAAUUAAUUUGUUCGGUACUUCUGUUUUCUAAUUCUUUGCUUGAUGUGCUUUCAAUUGGGAGCUCUCCACUCGAAAAAUACCUCAACGCCCAGCCACCUCUUCACCACCACACGCCAGUCAGCGCACGAGGCAGCGGAACUGGAUUUGUCUUCGUCCAGGGAAGUGAAGUCGUCUGCUCCUGUGCGGUGCUGGGCCAACGACCUCCGCUUCUCUUCUCCAUGGACAAACUUCAAAAGGCAACAGCAAGCCAUAUCAAGGGAGGGGAUUGAAGUCACCCCACCUCAAAUCCAUGGGCGCCAUCCACAAGAACCGUGGCCAGGACAAGGAGGCGGACAUCUUCGCACUGCUUUUUGGCGGAGGGCGACGCAGAUUUGCGAGCCUUGUGGCGCAGGUUGACCGGCCGGUGCCGCGCGAAUCUGGUUCGACGAGGUCGUUGGCGACCUGCUGCGGUGGCGGGAUAACAGGAUCAGCUCCGGGAUGUCCGGGGCACGCUGCUGCCGCUCGUGCAGCAGAAUGGCGGCCGCAGCGGCGAUGCAAAAGUUCUUCGUUCACUUCCACGUCCCGAAAGACAUCAAGAUAACACACGGAGGCCCAUUCGUCUUUCGGCCAGCAGCCUUCUCGCCAACUAAGGCAUUUCUACUCGGUCCUUUUCUUUUAGCCUGCUGCAGGGACCAAACACUAUACCUUCUUCUUCGGUCUUCAAUCUGUUUUCUUCUUCAAUGAAGCUAACCACGACAUCCUGCACGUACUGCACCGCUCCCAGAGUUUCCACGGUGCGGCGGCUCGAACUGACGCUCUCAGCCACGGCGCGCCUGGAUCAGUCAGGUUGAUCGAGGGACAAUACUGGCAACCGCUCGUCCGUGCUGAUCUUCGACCGAGAUAGAGUUCAGGUUAUCACACCAUAUGAAGUGAAAGCGCCGUUGGGACUCUGCUCGCGGUGCAUAGAACUUCCAUGGCAGCACGGGCGAUUCCAAGGCCCACUUGAGCUCCUCCUGCUGAUGUCAGACGGUGAGGUUUCUCAACCUCCACUCUAUUAGCCAUGUCCACAAAGUCUUUGUGCCAGGAUUCUUCCCUUUGUAAAUGUGAAAGCGGCUUGUACGAUCUAUUCACAGACUUGCUCUGCUGCUUUGUAGCCCAACUGAUUAUGUACUCUUGAUCGUCCUCGUGGCAUCUGUCAACUCCAUUGUGAAUCGUCUCUUUAUCUUAAGGCUGUACUCGCUAUGCUAGAAUGAUAGAUGAUAUAGUAAAUACAUCUUUUCUUUUUACAAGGCUCAUAUCGUAAGGAAUGUCGUGUACUGUGAACCAAGUUCAGUAUGUUGUCUAUUAAAUAUAUUCCUGUUUCUUCUUCAAAAUAUGAUGCUCCAGUUCAGAUAAUCAGUAGUGCAUAUUUUGGCUGAUAUUUCUAUUACAAAGCACUUGGUGGUGAUGGAUAAGUGUCGGACGGGUUGGGUUUCUUGUUUGAAGAGACUUGCAUUGUUGACUAUUAUAGCCUUUUUCUGUGUAACUUAACAAGUGUUAACAUAUUUUUAAAAUAUUACUAUAAUUUUGAAAUUUGUUAACAUGUUUCAAAAAUGUUCGUUCACUUUUAAAACUGUCCGCACAUCUAUGUCCUGCUCCUAUCAUAUUCUUCACUGCAUGUUAUCCAUUAUGAUUGCAUAUAUUAAACUUGGGUUAAUACUGACUUAGCAUUACCUGUUUUAAAAAUGUUGGGACCGGCACCCUCGCGCCAGGGCGCGAACCCGAUCUAGUAGAUAUGAAGAAGAAGAAGAAGAGGAGGAGAAAGAAGAAGGCGUUUCCACGGAACGCUAGUGUUGGAGAACAUGUGUCUUGUCCCUCCGUGUGAAUGCGAUGGGAGACAAGCGGCCUGAGGGGGUUUUGGUUUGGGUCGGGGGCGUUGGGGGGUUUGAUGACCUGAAAUUAAGAAGGUGAUCGCAGAUGGCAGGCGGCGACGCACAAACCGCCAACCCCUGCCCAACUCCUCCUCUUGAAAAUGAUUCCCCCGGCACGCCGCGGUCCCGUCUCAAGCAUUAAGCGCUAAGCCAUUAAGACGCAUUUAAUCUGGGCAGAUGGAGGGUGACGCCGCGGCCACCACGGGGGGAGCUGGAGCUGGGCAUUCUGCAGGCCCUACUUCUGAGAGCACAGUAUUAAUCUGAUGGCAACCAACCAAUCAUAUGGAAAUUCAGGCGACCACAGAAAUCUACUCCCUCCAUCCUUUAAAAAGUGUACUUCCAACUUUGUUGGAGGGUCAAACUAUCUCAAUGUUUGACUGAGUUUGUGCAAAAAUAUAUCAAUGUUUAUGAAACCAAAUAGGUAUAUGAUGAAAAUAUAUUUUAUGAUGAAUCUAAUGCUACUAAUUUGAUGGCAUAAAUGUUGGUGCAUUAUUGUAUAAAUACGGC